UACAGAGGUCCCAAGCGUUGUUCGGAUUCAUUGGGCGUAAAGGGUGCGUAGGCGGCGGGGUAAGUCUGGUGUGAAAUCUCGGAGCUCAACUCCGAAAUUGCACUGGAUACUGCUCUGCUUGAGGGUUGGAGAGGAGAUCGGAAUUCACGGUGUAGCAGUGAAAUGCGUAGAUAUCGUGAGGAAGACCAGUGGCGAAGGCGGAUCUCUGGACAAAUCCUGACGCUGAGGCGCGAAGGCUAGGGGAGCAAACGGG
rnacentral:rRNA from 1 species